rnacentral:misc_RNA from 1 species
UCUGCAUCUCCCCGCCUCCUAAGCUCUCCCACUUCGCUGUUGCUACUGAAACCCAAGUUUGGGUUUAGGGUUUCUCAGAUUUCUUCCUCCCCCUUCCAUCUUCACCCUUCUGUUUUAUCUCUUCAACCCAAUUACAGAAUGGAAUCUACUAGGACAGUAUGUUGUGCUUCUUCAUCUGAACGAAACGGGUCACCGGCGGCCAUUUCUUCUACCGCUUCAGGGCCUCGAGUGGGCGAAGUGAAAAGGGUCACUAAGGAAACAAAUGUAUCUGUCAAGAUAAACCUCGACGGUUCUGGGAUUGCGGAUAGUAUUACUGGGAUUCCAUUUCUUGAUCAUAUGUUAGAUCAACUUUCUUCACAUGGGCUUUUCGAUGUGCACGUAAGGGCCACGGGAGACAUCCACAUUGAUGAUCACCACACUAAUGAAGAUGUUGCCCUUGCAAUUGGAUCGGCUUUGCUGAAUGCACUUGGGGAUCGGAAAGGAAUUUACCGGUUCGGAGACUUCUCUGCUCCUCUUGAUGAAGCACUUAUACAUGUCUCACUAGAUUUAUCUGGCCGGCCACAUUUGAGUUAUGAUCUAG